CUACUGGAAACGGUAGCUAAUACCGCAUAAGUCGCAAGACCAAAGAAGGGGGACCUUCGGCCUCUUGCCAUCAGAAUGUGCCCAGAUGGGAUUAGCUAGUAGGUGGGGUAACGGCUCACCUAGGCGACGAUCCCUAGCUGGUCUGAGAGGAUGACCAGCCACACUGGAACUGAGACACGGUCCAGACUCCUACGGGAGGCAGCAGUGGGAAUAUUGCACAAUGGGCGCAAGCCUGAUGCAGCCAUGCCGCGUGUAUGAAGAAGGCCUUCGGGUUGUAAAGUACUUUCAGCGGGGAGGAAGGGUGAGGUUAAUAACCUCACAUUGACGUUACCCGCAGAAGAAGCACCGGCUAACUCCGUGCCAGCAGCCGCGGUAAUACGGAGGGUGCAAGCGUUAAUCGGAAUUACUGGGCGUAAAGCGCACGCAGGCGGUCUGUCAAGUCGGAUGUGAAAUCCCCGGGCUCAACCUGGGAACUGCAUUCGAAACUGGCAGGCUAGAGUCUUGUAGAGGGGGGUAGAAUUCCAGGUGUAGCGGUGAAAUGCGUAGAGAUCUGGAGGAAUACCGGUGGCGAAGGCGGCCCCCUGGACAAAGACUGACGCUCAGGUGCGAAAGCGUGGGGAGCAAACAGGAUU
rnacentral:rRNA from 1 species